AACGAACGCUGGCGGCAGGCCUAACACAUGCAAGUCGAACGCCCUAGCAAUAGGGAGUGGCAGACGGGUGAGUAACGCGUGGGAACCUUCCCAGUGGUACGGAAUAGCCCAGGGAAACUUGGAGUAAUACCGUAUAAUACCCGAAAGGGGAAAGAUUUAUCGCCAUUGGAUGGGCCCGCGUAGGAUUAGCUAGUUGGUGAGGUAAUGGCUCACCAAGGCGACGAUCCUUAGCUGGUCUGAGAGGAUGAUCAGCCACACUGGGACUGAGACACGGCCCAGACUCCUACGGUAGGCAGCAGUGGGGAAUAUUGGGCAAUGAGCGAAAGCCUGACCCAGCCAUGCCGCGUGAGUGACGAAGGCCUUAGGGUUGUAAAGCUCUUUUGGCGGGGACGAUAAUGACGGUACCCGCAGAAUAAGCCCCGGCUAACUUCGUGCCAGCCGCCGCCGUAAUAC
rnacentral:rRNA from 1 species